UCCGUAGGGCGCAAGCGUUGUCCGGAAUUAUUGGGCGUAAAGAGCUCGUAGGCGGCUUGUCACGUCGGAUGUGAAAGCCCGGGGCUUAACCCCGGGUCUGCAUUCGAUACGGGCUAGCUAGAGUGUGGUAGGGGAGAUCGGAAUUCCUGGUGUAGCGGUGAAAUGCGCAGAUAUCAGGAGGAACACCGGUGGCGAAGGCGGAUCUCUGGGCCAUUACUGACGCUGAGGAGCGAAAGCGUGGGGAGCGAACAGG
rnacentral:rRNA from 1 species